rnacentral:rRNA from 1 species
GGGCCCGCACAAGCGGUGGAGUAUGUGGUUUAAUUCGAUGCAACGCGAAGAACCUUACCAGGGUUUGACAUCCUGCGAAUCUUUUGGAAACGAGAGAGUGCCUUCGGGAACGCAGUGACAGGUGGUGCAUGGCUGUCGUCAGCUCGUGUCGUGAGAUGUUGGGUUAAGUCCCGCAACGAGCGCAACCCACGUCUUUAGUUGCCAGCAUUUAGUUGGGCACUCUGAAAGAACUGCCAGUGAUAAGCUGGAGGAAGGUGGGGAUGACGUCAAGUCCUCAUGGCCCUUACGUGUUGGGCUACACACGUGCUACAAUGGUAUCUACAACAGGAAGCAAGACUGCGAGGUCAAGCAAAUCCUUAAAAGAUACUC